AUUGAACGCUGGCGGCAGGCUUAACACAUGCAAGUCGAGCGAGCGGCGGACGGGUGAGUAAUGUCUGGGAAACUGCCUGAUGGAGGGGGAUAACUACUGGAAACGGUAGCUAAUACCGCAUACCAUCAGAUGUGCCCAGAUGGGAUUAGCUAGUAGGUGGGGUAAAGGCUCACCAAGGCAACGAUCCGUAGCUGGUUUGAGAGGACGACCAGCCACACUGGGACUGAGACACGGCCCAGACUCCUACGGGAGGCAGCAGUGGGGAAUUGUGGACAAUGGGGGAAACCCUGAUCCAGCCAUCCCGCGUGUAUGAUGAAGGCCUUCGGGUUGUAAAGUACUUUUGGCAGAGAAGCGGUAUCUGCAGAAUAAGCACCGGCUAACUACGUGCCAGCAGCCGCGGUAGUAC
rnacentral:rRNA from 1 species